rnacentral:rRNA from 1 species
AUUGAACGCUGGCGGCAGGCCUAACACAUGCAAGUCGAACGAGUGGCGGACAGGUGCGUAAUGUCUGGGAAACUGACUGAUGGAGGGGGAUAACUACUGUAAACGGUAGCUAAUACCGCAUACCAUCGGAUGUGCCCAGAUGGGAUUAGCUAGUAGUUGGGGUAAAGGCUCACCUAGGCGACGAUCCCUAGCUUGUCUGAGAGGAUGACCAGCCACACGGGAACUGAGUAACGGUCCAGACGGCUACGUGAGGAAGCAGUGGGGAAUAUUGCACAAUGGGCGCAAGCCUGAGGCAGCCAGGACGCGUGUAUGAAGAAGGCCUUCGUGUUGUAAAGUCUUUUCAGCGGUGAGGCGUUACCCGCAGAAGAAGCACCGGCUAACUCAGUGCCAGCAGCCGCGGUAAUAC